rnacentral:rRNA from 1 species
CGGAGGGAUCAUUACCGAGUUUACAACUCCCAAACCCCUGUGAACAUACCACUUGUUGCCUCGGCGGAUCAGCCCGCUCCCGGUAAAACGGGACGGCCCGCCAGAGGACCCCUAAACUCUGUUUCUAUAUGUAACUUCUGAGUAAAACCAUAAAUAAAUCAAAACUUUCAACAACGGAUCUCUUGGUUCUGGCAUCGAUGAAGAACGCAGCAAAAUGCGAUAAGUAAUGUGAAUUGCAGAAUUCAGUGAAUCAUCGAAUCUUUGAACGCACAUUGCGCCCGCCAGUAUUCUGGCGGGCAUGCCUGUUCGAGCGUCAUUUCAACCCUCAAGCACAGCUUGGUGUUGGGACUCGCGUUAAUUCGCGUUCCUCAAAUUGAUUGGCGGUCACGUCGAGCUUCCAUAGCGUAGUAGUAAAACCCUCGUUACUGGUAAUCGUCGCGGCCACGCCGUUAAACCCCAACUUCUGAAUGUUGACCUCGGAUCAGGUAGGAAUACCCGCUGAACUUAAGCA